rnacentral:pre_miRNA from 1 species
UCUUACGGAUGAGCAAUGAAAGUGGUUUCUUGAGAUGAAAGCUACCCCUGGUGAAGACGCUGUGAA